rnacentral:rRNA from 1 species
GGACGAACCUCUGGUGUUCGGGUUGUGUCGCCAGACGCAUUGCCCGGUAGCUAAGUUCGGAAUCGAUAACCGCUGAAAGCAUCUAAGCGGGAAGCGAGCCCUGAGAUGAGUCUUCCCUGAUACUUUAAGUAUCCUAAAGGGUUGUCGGAGACUACGACGUUGAUAGGUCAGGUGUGUAAGUGCUGUGAGGCAUUGAGCUAACUGAUACUAAUUGCCCGUGAGGCUUAACCAUACAACACC